GAUGAACGCUGGCGGCGUGCUUAACACAUGCAAGUCGAACGAAGCAAUUUAACGGAAGUUUUCGGAUGGAAGCUAGAUUGACUGAGUGGCGGACGGGUGAGUAACGCGUGGGUAACCUGCCUCGCACUGGGGGACAACAGUUAGAAAUGACUGCUAAUACCGCAUAAGCGCACAGGACCGCAUGGUCUAGUGUGAAAAACUCCGGUGGUGUGAGAUGGACCCGCGUUUGAUUAGCUAGUUGGUGGGGUAACGGCCUACCAAGGCGACGAUCAAUAGCCGACCUGAGAGGGUGACCGGCCACAUUGGGACUGAGACACGGCCCAAACUCCUACGGGAGGCAGCAGUGGGGAAUAUUGCACAAUGGGGGAAACCCUGAUGCAGCGACGCCGCGUGAGUGAAGAAGUAUUUCGGUAUGUAAAGCUCUAUCAGCAGGGAAGAAAAUGACGGUACCUGACUAAGAAGCCCCGGCUAACUACGUGCCAGCAGCCGCGGUAAUACGUAGGGGGCAAGCGUUAUCCGGAUUUACUGGGUGUAAAGGGAGCGUAGACGGUAAAGCAAGUCUGGAGUGAAAGCCCGGGGCUCAACCCCGGGACUGCUUUGGAAACUGUUUAACUAGAGUGCUGGAGAGGUAAGCGGAAUUCCUAGUGUAGCGGUGAAAUGCGUAGAUAUUAGGAGGAACACCAGUGGCGAAGGCGGCUUACUGGACAGUAACUGACGUUGAGGCUCGAAAGCGCGG
rnacentral:rRNA from 1 species